GAUGAACGCUGGCGGCGUGCCUAACACAUGCAAGUCGAGCGAACAGAUGAGGAUUUUGCUCCUCUGACGUUAGCGGCGGAUGGGUGAGUAACACGAGUAUAACCUACCUAUAAGACUGGGAUAACUUCGGGAAACCGGAGCUAAUACAGGAUAAUAUAGUGAACCGCAUGGUUCAAUAGUGAAAGACGGUUUUGCUGUCACUUAUAGAUGGUUCCGCGCCGCAUUAGCUAGUUGGUACGGUAACGGCUUACCAAGGCUACGAUGCGUAGCCGACCUGAGAGGGUGAUCGGCCACACUGGAACUGAGACACGGUCCAGACUCCUACGGGAGGCAGCAGUAGGGAAUCUUCGGCAAUGGGCGAAAGCCUGACGGAGCAACGCCGCGUGAGUGAAGAAGGUCUUCGGAUCGUAAAGCUCUGUUAUUAGGGAAGAACAGAUGUGUAAGUAACCAUGCACGUCUUGACGGUACCUAAUCAAAAAGCCACGGCUAACUACGUG
rnacentral:rRNA from 1 species